AUGUAAUAAACACAAACCUUACACAUGAGUGGUUAUAUGGUUUGUUAUAUGGAAUGUAUAUGUAAAAAUCCCUAUAUUGAAGCACUAGUCAUCCUGUAAUUUGACUGACUACUAAUGGGCCUGCCGGGGUAAACAUGUCAACCCUUUUAGGCUUACUUGAAUCCAGUCCAAAUCUGCAGCUCUCCAAGACUCAUAACUUUAAACCAAUUCCACCAAUCAUUAAUCCUAACAUGAAUCUAAUUAUGACUAGAUAAUUCUGCCAAUUCUCAGGGAAUGCAUAACUAAAGAGUUAAUAAUUUUAGAUUACAGUAAAAACCUAACAUAAAUGAUACAAUUACUAAGAUUAAAAAAAUAAAAAUCAUUAUGCAUUCUAUUGCAUCACAAACGUGGAUCAUAGCCUCACUUCUACACACUAAACUUCUACUUUCUAAAAUUAAAGUUGCAUUUCAACACAUCGAAUACAAACUUUGGCCGGCAAUUGCUCAUGCUUUCAGAACAUCCGUUCUCUCAUGUUAAGCAUAUCACUAACAACAAAUUUAGUACAAAUUUCAUGAGACCAAGAGUUACAUGACUUAUAGAAUCUUGAGAGGUUUAAAUAUUGACUAUUAAUAUGCUUUAGCAAGAUAAAUGAAUAUUGAUAGCAACUGAAUUAGUUUAAGAAUGGUUUUAACCAAAAUUUCAACUAAUGAUCGAACAAACAAAGAGCUGAUAUUAACAGCUGAUAUUAACAGAGCACAAGAGGUAAUCACAUGUAGCAAACAAAUACAAGAAACUAAAAAAUAGGCAUAGUCAUGGAAUCAGCAAACUAAAGAAAUUUAUUUUCAUAUUCAAAGAGAAGUACAAUAUGUUUUGGCAUACCUAACAGCAGAAGAUAGCAACAUAACACAAGAAAUAGAAAAUAAAUCUCUAAACUAGAAGAUAGCUAGACCAAAAUCUCACAGCAGCUUGAUGAAAAAUGAGCAAACACACCAACAAAAGCAGUAAAUCCCAGGAAAAGACCUCAAAUUCAACCCAAAACUAGCUUUGGAGCAAUCAAGGACCAAUGGAGUCAAACAACUUAGUCUUAGAAGCGAUUCCUGAUCUUUAGCUCUUGCUUUUAGAAGAAAUGAAAAGAAAUCCUUGUAUACAGUAUGAGUCUUUUCCUUCUUCUAGUUAAGAAUGUAUCUGUGCUUUUGAGACUUAAAUAUGUUGAAUAUUAACGUAUGUGUGUGAUCCUUUAUAUAGAAUGUAAGAGGGUGCGUUUGUGAGGAAAAAUCAUAGGGGUGUGCGGAAAUCUUUUGGGAAUUAUGUCAGCUCUAUUUUAGAGAUAAGGUACCUUUUUUUUACCAGAAAAUGGACAGCUAUCUAUGCAUAUUUUUCCUAUUUUUUAAGUCCUUUUAAUUUUUAAAUUUACCUCCUUUUUACCCUAAUCUAACCUAAUAUACUUAGCAUAAUUGCAUUUUAGUCCCUAUUAUAAUCUUCUAGAACCUUCCAGACCAUUCUAGACGUAGACUCCCGAAUUUUGGUUUCCAAUUACCCCUUUCAAGUUUUCAAUAUUAAUCUUUCAACCCUUUUAAUUCCUAUCCGGAUUAAACAUUAGCAAUCAAACAAUCAAAGAUCAACAGAAACGGACUACUAAUUUGGAAAUAAAUAGAUUACCGAACUAAUUUAGAAUUGAUUCAAUUAAUUUAAACAAAAUGCGAUUAAGCUGACUAUCAUUAAAUUAACCUAUGUGAAGCUAUUUUAAUUGAAAUUAACCAAAUAAAUAAACAACAUACUAACUAGUGAGGAAAAAACAACAUAAAGAAGAGAAAAAAAGAAACAAGAAAAGGGAAAAGGACAAUACAUUGAUUUGUCAAAAAUGGUUGGACAAACACGGCGAAUUAAUGAACGAUGAUGGCAAAGAAGCUUGGCCGGCCAGCAUUUACUUGGACGAAAUUUGGUGAGUUUCAGAAUGAGCCAAAACUAACGUUCAUCAAUUGCCCUUGACAAGAGCAAUCGACUAACGUAGGUUUCUGGCCAAAACAAGUUGGUAUUUCCAAUAAAAUCGAAAAAUGAAAAGGUUAGGUUUUUUUUUUCCAGGAUUGUAGAUCCAAAAUUGGAGGGAUUUGGUGAGGAAUUUUGGAAAACUAAUGGUAGACUAGUGAUAAGGGGAGGCUGGGAUUGUAGGGUGUUAAUUUGGGCAUGAUUGGGGUAUUGCCGCUGCAGUAGGCGAUUUCCGACGAUUGUUCAGGGCGUAGGUAAGAGAAAGGGGUGAAAGAGGUGAGACACAGAGG
rnacentral:lncRNA from 1 species